AGCGAACGCUGGCGGCAGGCCUAACACAUGCAAGUCGAACGAACUCUUCGGAGUUAGUGGCGGACGGGUGAGUAACACGUGGGAACGUGCCUUUUGGUUCGGAAUAACUCAGGGAAACUUGUGCUAAUACCGAAUGUGCCCUUCGGGGGAAAGAUUUAUCGCCAUUAGAGCGGCCCGCGUCUGAUUAGCUAGUUGGUUAGGUAACGGCUCACCAAGGCGACGAUCAGUAGCUGGUCUGAGAGGAUGACCAGCCACACUGGGACUGAGACACGGCCCAGACUCCUACGGGAGGCAGCAGUGGGGAAUCUUGCGCAAUGGGCGAAAGCCUGACGCAGCCAUGCCGCGUGAAUGAUGAAGGUCCUAGGAUUGUAAAAUUCUUUCACCGGGGACGAUAAUGACGGUACCCGGAGAAGAAGCCCCGGCUAACUUCGUG
rnacentral:rRNA from 1 species